UCGAAGUCAGACGCCCAACCGACUGAGCCACCCAGGUGCCCCCUCGGUGGCCCUGUUUCCAAAUAUGUUCACCUUGUGAGGGACGUGAAGUUAGGAGUUCAACACAGGAAUUUGGGCAGGGACAGAAUUCAAUUCAUAACACAUACUAAACACUCAAGUGGUAGUUAUUAUUCACAAUACCUUCUUCAAACACGUUUUCAUGGGGGUAUUUUUGUAGCCAGGUUUGCAUCUUUUUCUCAUCAUCUUUCCAGGCCUUCAUUAUGUCUAGAAAGAAAGUGCCCUGAGAGCAGGUGAUUUGACCGUGGGGUUCAGUCCUGUGCUGUCUAGGGUCUAGGCAGCAGUGGGCCCCCUGGAAGCCCCACGGAAUGUCUACAGAUUAAUGAAUGAGGUCUGUUUCUCUCCUCCUUUCUAUUUACUUAUUUUUUAUUUCUCAGUGGCCAGCCUUCCACCUUAGUUACCUUUUCUAGAUUGCGAAAGCAUUAAAGACAAAAGACAUGAAACCAAACACAUUUUAAUUUCCUUUGUUGAUAAUUAUUAAGUCCUCCAUCAUCACUUGCUUCCUGCAGCCAGUGAGAAACCCAGCCAGAUGGCAGAGGGCAGCAGAAGUGUUGCUGGGGGUGGGGGGAGUGAAGUGCCUGUGUUGGGGACACUUAGAGGCCAUUCUGGGCACUUCCCGGGUGCUUGAUUUUGGCCAGAGCUGGGUAUUUGGAAUGCAUGUGGCCCAACUCUACUCUGAGAGUCUGGGAAGGAACCAAUGAGGUCAAUAUUGGCUCUACAGGUUGAAAGUCAAAGUCAAAAUGAAGAGCCACAGGCCUGGAAAGGUACAGGGACUUUAUCUGGUCCCCAGAAAGGUGUGACGGAUGCCCCCCGCAUCUGGCGCAAUGAUUCUCUGUCCGCACACCGCCAGUGUGGGCCCAAAAGAUGUGGCCACCUGUGUCUGAUGGCUCCUGGUCUGAAAACAGGUCAGGAGUUGUGUGAAUCUUGGACUCAGACAGGAAGUGGAGUGUGAAACGUAGACAGACCAUGCUGUGUAUUCGAGAGACCCAGAGACGGACUGUCGUAAGCUAAGUAGCUCUGUACUGGUGCCCGGACUCAACCCCCCCACCUUCCGGUGAGAGAAAAGAGUGAAAACACCCUAAUAGUGUGCUGGCAUCAUCGCGGUACAAAUGCAUCUAUCCAUCUGCCCAGCCAGCUUCUCACCGCUGUAGAACAGAUGUUGCACAUGCACACAGCCCCUGGCAAGAAACAGGAAGGAUCCAGCCGGGUGGGGGCUGGGGUUCAGGAGAGGCAAUAGCAAAGCAGUGAUAUACUUUCAGGCUACUGUUACCACUUGGGACCAAUGAAAACAGUGUGGGCUCAUCCUUGCCCACUUCUUUUUUAAUUAAGGAUUUAACUGGGUAUUGAACUCGACUUAAAAGCGUUUUUAUGGUGGAGCAUCUCAAAAAUACGCAGAAGCAAAUAGAGGAGUGUAGUCAUCCCCACGAGCCCAUCCCUCAGCCCGGACAAUCAUUAUUCCACGGCCGUCCGGCCCCACGUACACGGCUCUACCCGCUUCCGCUGUUUCUACAGACUGAACGUUAACACAGAAUGAAAGUGUUUUCCAGCAGUGAAACAAUAGGACACUGAGUCCUUGGAACAGCGCUCAGGCUCCUGCAUAGACCCAAGCGUCAGGAGAGAACAGACUUGAGAAAGAAAGAAACGUCAUGUUGUUUUCAUGCUGCUCCAGUUCUGCUGUGUUUCAAAAAAAAGUCAGAGGAGGCUACCGGUCAGCAGACAAUUAGUGAGAGCACGAGGCGCUGCCCUUCACUUUGUGUUGCCGGGGACACGAAGAUGAGAGGAGUGUGUUUUCUGAUCGCAGAGAUCUUUACAGUUUUCUGUGGGAGAUCGCACCCCUACUCUUGAUACAAAGUGGCCUAAAGGUCAUACCUUAGAAGAUGUAGGAGGCAGACCACACCUUGAUGAUCCACACACCUUGCAAGAUGUCCUGUGGUUUCUGGUCACUCAAGCACCCCUGGUCUUUGGAUCGCCCUGGGGAGUAUACUUCAGGGAGGAACACACAGACUGUUGGUGCCAGGCGGUGCUUGGGCUUUGGCUGACAUCUGGUCAACCCCACAGUCAUAAAGCUGCACAGACCUGCAGUGUGGAAGAGACAGACCGCUCCAGUGAAAAGUCGGGUUUUCCAGCUCUAACUUCCAGGGGUUAUUCCAAGUGUCAGGGGUGUGAGAGGAGCGGAAGGCGUUCAAGAGAACUGACGAAGAGUGUUUGGGCUGGGAGUGGACUCUGCUCCCCUCCCGAGGCUGGCCCAGCCCAGCCCACCUCACCCCCAAGUCUUUGAAGUGCGCUACCUGGAUGGUGAGCUAAGCCACGCUUGGCAGGAGGGAGGGAGGUUGUGUGGUCUGGCAAAGAGCAGAGCGGAGGGGCAGAGGGACCAAGCCUGAAUCUGCAGCUGACUCACGGCACCUCUCGUGCCAGGCCGUUUCACCAUUCAGUCCAGAUGGAAAAUGAGGAAAAGACCCAAAUCAGGAUCUCACUGAGAAAUCCAGAUGCCUUUCAGGAGAAUAAACAAGGCAGCCUGCUC